UGAAGCAGCAUGAACCACGGGGCAAGCCCAUGCACCAUAGUCAAACACACACACCCACAAGCAAACCAUUCGAGGCUGGGGAACACUGGCCAAACUGCACCACAGUGAGGCAAAGGAAAGAAUGCCUUCUCUGGAAGACGUUGAGAAAGUGCUUUUCAUUUAUUAAACAUUGGUUUGGAUAACAUGAUGCUACAAAGGAUCUGCAGAGGGCAGAGGAGAGGACAAGGAGGUCAGAAGACUGAGCAGAAAAGGACUGAAUACCCAGAAACAACAGGAUUUUAGUAAUUAUGUGUUUGCUUUUCACAAAUCCCUGGCAAAGUGUAUGGGACCUGCUUUACUUAAAACAACUAGUUAAGAUUUAGAUUUAGAUGUUUAAAUUUAAAUUUUUGGUUCCCAAAGUUGAUGUCUGAUUGUGUACCAGGAGUAAGUGAGGAAAGAGGCAGGCUUGAAAAUGUCAAGAUAUCUGGCCCCAUUCGACUAGUAGAAAGCAAGCAUCACUGACGGAAAUAAAAGGAGGAAAGUACAAUGAAAAAGUGCAUUUUCAGAGGAAGAGAAAGUUAAAUUUGAUUUGAGGCUCACUGCAUUUAAGAUGACUGAGGAUAUUCAUUAAAUAUCUCCUGUUGGCUGCAGUAAACUAAAGAGUGAUUCCUCGAGACAUAUAGAUUUGGAAAUCAGUUACAUUAAAUAAAGGUAGCAACUGAAGCUCUGAGAGUGGAUGACUUAGCCACAAUCGGAUCAGAGGGUGGAUGACUGAGCAUCAGGGAAUCCUCACAGACAAACAUCACAAAAAGAAAUAUACUAUAAUUUAAAGCACGUGCAAAUAAUCAUGUUAUAUUUCAGACAUGGAGAACCAACCAAAUAAAAACAGCCUUCAAAAAUCUUGUAAAAAUAACCUGAUAGAAAAGAGGGGGAAAGAAUGUCUUAAAAACUCCUGUAAAUAGAAAAAGAAUGUAUUUGCUUUUAAUCAAGACUUUUAUUCUGCUGGUCCCUAAGGGGUAAUUAUGAGAUAGGUGCUCCUAAAACCUGCUACCAAAAUACUGGGCUACAAAGCUUUUACUGUCACCAGGAGGUGACACUAGUUACACAGUUACAGCACACACUGAUGCAACCCUUUCCUCAAGGCAUUAUACACAGCUUCCAAUGUGGACUGC